AUGCAACUGUGCAACAAAACUCCUCUCAUUGUUAUUGCAAACAUUGCACACAAAGAGUGGAUCUUAGACUUGGGAGCUUUCCAUUAUAUAACAAAUGAGUUGGACAACCUGCACUUGUCUCAACCUUACAUAGGUUCAGAUCAACUUCAGGAUUUGAAGACAAGGGAACCUCUUCUAAAAGGGAAGCAUAGCAAUGGACUCUACCACAUGCCUCUUCCAUCAUCUCUAUCACCACUACAACAUUCUCCUACCAUCCCACAAAAUAAAGAGUCAACAACAACCUUGUCUAUCAUGUAA